UGGAUAUAAUUUUUUUUCAUUAGUUUUCAUGGUCAAAAUGAGAGAUCAGGUGGCCGAUCUUAAAAUAAAUCAAUAUUGAUUUUUUUAUGGAGCGUUAAAGUUUUGCGAAGCCAGGGGGCGGGACUACUUGAUUGACAGUCUGGUCUGGAAUGAUUGACAGGUCCUAUGGAGGAGGCAGCAGAGACUCUGCUCUCCUCGUUUGGAUUAAUUCUGAUAUAAUAACUGUUGGUUUAUUUAUCGGUGGAGCAGCAGAACAUUUUCCACAGACAGUUUUCCUGCCCGUCGGCUUGUUUUAACCAGUUUUCUACCUUCGGCUGAUUCUACCAGCAGACACUGAAAAGACUCUUAUAGUUCAGUGUCUCUUGUUCACUGUGAGGAUCUUCUGAGUGAAGCCAACAGAAGGAAAACCUCAUCUGGUUGUGAAGAAGGAGACUGAAUGGACGACAUCCUCAGUGAACCACUUCCUGUUUAACUUUCACUUACAGAAGAGUGAAAGUAGCAGUUCCUCCUGAAGGUCAGAGAUUGCAGCAUCUGAGGGCCUCUUCAAAAGAAGAUGUAGUUGAUGAAGGCGUUCUGGAGCAGGACCAGAAAGACCACGACCAAGCAGCCUUGAGAUCUUAGACAGCGUCUCCCUCAGGUCCCUCUCUAUCUCCCCACACAUCCACCAACCACUGGAACACAUCUCCAAAGUUCUGCUGGACCAGCUCAGCUUCCCCUCAGAAGAAGUGCUGCCACCUGCCAGAUGAAGGAGCCUUUUGAGAGGCAGCUGGCAUCGUGAUUGGACUGUACUUUGGUCUGUUCCAAUCCAGCUUCAGUUCCAGAGACGGCAGGCGGGACGAGUCAACGGAGGCCUGGUGGACGAAGACAUGCAGCUGAGUACAAUCCAGAAAACAACAGAGGAGGAGGAAACAAACGUAGUAGUAUAGUAGAAAAUAUACAUCGUAGAUUGUAUAAAUAACAAGUCAAAGGAAAGAGACAUACACUGUAGAAUUGUAGUAAUUGUGGGCUGAUUGAUUUACUGAUUAUUGGUAUUUGAUUUUUUACUGGUAAUAAAUACAUUUACUUUGGCUCUGAA